GUCUUAUAGAAUAUAAUUUUAAGUUUAAUCUGCCCGAUGAGUAAUUGAAUGGCCGCAGUAUUUUGACUGUGCAAAGGUAGCAUAAUCAAUUGUUUCUUAAUUAGGAACUGGAAUGAAGGAUUGGACGAGAAAAUAACUGUCUUUUUUUAAAUUUAGUAUAAAUUUAUUUUUAAGUAAAAAAGCUUAAGUGAUUUUAAAAGACGAGAAGACCCUAUAGAGUUUUAUAUUUUAUAAAUAUUAGAAAUUUAGAAUUAUUAUUAUAUUAUUAAAAAAAAUAUUUUGUUGGGGUGAUAAAAAAAAUUAAUAAACUUUUUUUUAUAAAAAAACAUUUAUAAAUGAAUAAUUGAUCCAUUAUUUAUGAUUAGAAGAUUAAAUUACCUUAGGGAUAACAGCGUAAUUUUUUUGGAGAGUUCAAAUCGAUAAAAAAGAUUGCGACCUCGAUGUUGGAUUAAAAUAAAGUAUUGGUGUAGAAGCUGAUAUAGUUAAGUCUGUUCGACUUUUGAAAUUUUACAUGAUCUGAGUUUAAACCGGUGUAAGCCAGGUUGGUUUCUAUCUUUAAUUAAUUUUAAUAUUUUAGUACGAAAGGACCAAGUAUUAUUAAUAAUUAA
rnacentral:rRNA from 1 species